rnacentral:rRNA from 1 species
GAGUGAUCGAAAGAUGAAAAGCACCUUGAAAAGAGGGUUAAACAGUACGUGAAAUUGUUGAAAGGGAAGCGCUUGUGACCAGACUUGGGCGCGGCGGAUCAUCCGGGGUUCUCUCCGGUGCACUUCGCCGCGUUCAGGCCAGCAUCAGUUCGUCGCGGGGGAAAAAGGCUUCGGGAACGUGGCUCCUCCGGGAGUGUUAUAGCCCGUUGCAUAAUACCCUGCGGUGGACUGAGGACCGCGCAUCUGCAAGGAUGCUGGCGUAAUGGUCACCAGCGAC